rnacentral:lncRNA from 1 species
UGAAAAACCAAAAAACAACGGAGAAGAUGCGACAAUCCACGUUCUGAAACGAAACAAUUUUCAAACCACAAAUACAAUACCUACACAAAAAUACAACAAAACGUAAGUUUAAUCAUCUAAAACAAUAAAAAAUGCAUCAAACCAAUCCAAAAACACAAAAAAAAAAAAAACGAAAAAACUCUAGUGACCAAAGCCCAAGUUGAUCAGAUACAAACAUUGACGAUGAAAAAUGAGGAAGGAAACUCUUCUACAACAAAGAUGGCGACACAACAGAGGCGCGAGGAAGCAACGAAAACUCUCGCGACGUAGGGAAGAAGAAGUUGCAGAAAGAAUUGUUUACGUAUGGAAGAAGAAGAAAAUUGUUCGCGUUUUCACGAAAUUUUAACCCUAGUAGGGGCUCUACUGCCUCAGUUCUACCAGGAACAAAAGCCUAUACUCCACA